rnacentral:rRNA from 1 species
AUUGAACGCUGGCGGAAUGCUUUACACAUGCAAGUCGAACGGCAGCACGGGAGCUUGCUCCUGGUGGCGAGUGGCGAACGGGUGAGUAAUAUAUCGGAACGUAUCCAAUAAUGGGGGAUAACUAGUCGAAAGAUUAGCUAAUACCGCAUACGCCCUGAGGGGGAAAGCUGGGAUCUUCGGACCUAGCGUUAAUGGAGCGGCCGAUAUCUGAUUAGCUAGUAGGUGAGGUAAAAGCUCACCUAGGCGACGAUCAGUAGCUGGUCUGAGAGGACGACCAGCCACACUGGAACUGAGACACGGUCCAGACUCCUACGGGAGGCAGCAGUGGGGAAUUUUGGACAAUGGGCGCAAGCCUGAUCCAGCCAUUCCGCGUGAGUGAAGAAGGCCUCGGGUUGUAAAGCUCUUUCGCAAGGGAAGAAAACUAACCUCUAACAUAGGUUGAGGCUGACGGUACCUUGAUAAGAAGCACCGGCUAACUACGUGCCAGCAGCCGCGGUAAUACGUAGGGUGCGAGCGUUAAUCGGAAUUACUGGGCGUAAAGCGUGCGCAGGCGGCCUGAUAAGUCUGAUGUGAAAGUCCCCGAGCUCAACUUGGGGAACUGCGUUUGAAACUAUCAAGCUAGAAUAUGUCAGAGGGGGGCUAGAAUUCCACGUGUAGCAGUGAAAUGCGUAGAGAUGUGGAGGAAUACCAAUGGCGAAGGCAGCCCCUGGGAUAAUAUUGACGCUCAUGCACGAAAGCCGUGGGGG